AUUGAACGCUGGCGGCAUGCUUUACACAUGCAAGUCGAACGGUAACAGGGAGCUUGCUCCGCUGACGAGUGGCGAACGGGUGAGUAAUGCGUCGGAACGUGCCGAGUAGUGGGGGAUAACGCAUCGAAAGGUGUGCUAAUACCGCAUACGUACUGAGGUAGAAAGUGGGGGACCUUCGGGCCUCACGCUAUCGGAUGCGCCUACGUGGGAUUAGCUAGUUGGUGAGGUAAUGGCUCACCAAGGCGACGAUCUCUAGCUGGUUUGAGAGGAUGAUCAGCCACACUGGAACGGAGACCCGGUCCGGACUCCUACGGGAGGCAGAAGUGGGGAAUAUUGGACAAUGGGGGCAAGCCUGAUCCAGCCAUGCCGCGUGUGUGAAGAAGGCCUUCGGGUUGUAAAGCACUUUUGUCCGGAAGGAAAUGGCUCUGGUUAAUACCUGGGGUCGAUGACGGUACCGGAAGAAUAAGGACCGGCUAACUACGUGCCAGCAGCCGCCGUAAAAC
rnacentral:rRNA from 1 species